rnacentral:sRNA from 1 species
UCCCGAAGCAUCCGUGCC